rnacentral:rRNA from 1 species
CAGUCGAGCGGUAGCACAGGGAGCUUGGUCCUGGGUGAGAAGCGCCGGACAGGUGAGAAAUGUGUGGGAAACUGCCUGAUGGAGGGGGAUAACUACUGUGAACGGUAGCUAAUACCGCAUAACGUCUUCGGACCCCAGUGGGGGACCUUCUGGCCUCUUGCCCUCUCAUGUGCCCCCAUGGGAUUAUCUAUUAGGUGGGGUAAUGGGUCUCCUAUGCGACAAUACCUAUCUGUGCUGAGAGGAUGACCACCCACACUGUGACUGAGACACGGUCCCCACUCCUACGGGAGGCGGCAGUGGGGAAUAUUGCGCAAUGUGCGCACGCCUGAUGCGCCCCUGUGCCGUGUGUGAAAAAAGCCUUCUCGUUGUGAAGCACUUUCUCCGAGGAGAAAAGGGUCACUGUGAAUAUCACUGUGCGUUGACGUUACUCUCACAAAAAACACCGGCUAUCUCUGUGCCACCACCCGCGCUAAUACACAGAGUGCGCGCGUUAAUCUCAAUUACUGUGCGUGUAGCGCACACACGCGCGUUGUGAAGUCACAUAUGAAAUCUCCGCGCUCAUCGUGUGGGCUGUGUAUGUGACUGUGGAGCUAUAGACUCGUGUAGAGGGGUAGAGUUCCCGUGUAUCGCUGUGAUGCGUAUAGAUCUCUAGAGAUAUAGGUGUCGCGAGCGGCCCCCUGUACACGACAGACACUCUCGUGCGCGAGCGUGUGGAGCGCAACAAUAUGAUAUACUGGAUGUAUGCUGUGUACGCUAUCUACACUAAUGUGUGCUGAGCGUGU